rnacentral:rRNA from 1 species
CCGGGUAUACAUCGGAACGUGCCCUGUAGUGGGGGAUAACUAGUCGAAAGACUAGCUAAUACCGCAUACGACCUGAGGGUGAAAGUGGGGGACCGCAAGGCCUCAUGCUAUAGGAGCGGCCGAUGUCUGAUUAGCUAGUUGGUGGGGUAAAGGCCCACCAAGGCGACGAUCAGUAGCUGGUCUGAGAGGACGAUCAGCCACACUGGGACUGAGACACGGCCCAGACUCCUACGGGAGGCAGCAGUGGGACCACA